CGUCAGCUCUCUGCUUUCUGGUGUGGCAAACGGCUGCGUUAUUUGGAGCUGUGUGUCCGACGGCAGUGAGGCUUUCCUUCACCGUGUGCUGUGUUAUGCUGUGUGAGCACCACUGAUAAAAUCACGGGUAUUGGAGUGAGUGUGUGUGUGUGUGUGUGCACUUAGUGUGAUUCUCCUCUUUUGCUCCCUCUCUUAGCCCAUUUGAUGCCAAUAGGCUACAGCUCCGAAGUAAAUGUGAAUCCUUAUUGUGGAUUGUGAUUUCCAGCUUAGUAAUUGGCUGGGUGACUAUUAUUCCUGCAUUUUAAACUUUUGUACUAAUAAACAAACUCUAUUUUGCUA